rnacentral:lncRNA from 1 species
GCCAGGGGAAUGUGGGGGCUGGCCUAGAAUUUACCACCUUCUCUCCCUCACUAGAAGCAAGGAACUGCUCUCGCUAAAUUCCUAAAGCUUUAGGACUCUGAAUCACAGCACAGCACAGCACAGCCCAAGGGGUCAGUUCAAGUCCUUCCUCCACCCCCACACGUUUACAAGCUUUGUAAACAUCAGAGGUUAGUCAGGGAAGCUGGGCUGAAAAGAGAUGGAGGUGGGGGUUAGGAUCCUUGGAAAAGGUUCUGCGAUGUUUGACUCAGAUUACAGGCACAUGUGGUGGGAGUUCUUUGGGAAAAGAGUUCCCCAAGUAGGGGCAGCUGAAACAUGCCAGCUGGAGCAGAGAGGACUUGGGCCUUUAGGAGGGUGGGGCUGCUGACAAGAGGCUGAGGGUGGCCUUGAGAAGGUCAGAGCCAUGAGGGAAGAGGCUGACCCUGGCAUGUACAGCUGGAGGGAGUGGGAGUGAGGCAAUGUGUUUGGAUUCUUCCUCUCUGCCCCUCUAGCUCAUGGCAAUUUGCGUGUUCCUUUAUCUCACGGGAUCCCUGCUCUGAGCCCACAUCAGAGCCCCUCUCUAACAAAGAGGUGCCAGUGUCUGGCCUGCAGGCUGGGUACCUUUCUACUUGCUCCCACUAGCCUCUGCCGCACCCUUGACUCCCACCCUUCUCAGUUUAAGGAUCUGAGCUGUGGUAGCCAUCUCUAGCUCAGGGUGAGGGCAUGGUGCCUGCAACCUCCCUGGGAAUGAAUUAUUGAAGACAG